UGGGAAGAUCGGUGGAUGUAGAGCCUUAAUGGGAAAUCGCGUUGGGAUCCGAGUCUGAUAGGGAGGGAUCAUGGGAAUGAGGUGUGCCGGGUUAGGAGGUGUUGGUGAGGGAAGGGCAGGUGCAAGUCAAAGGGGAAGUGAGGAGUCGUGGUCCUCAUCAAUAUUUCGUCGUCGUCGUGGAAGCUUUUGAAUUCGGAGUCAGCCGCACCUCCAUUGCUACCUCAACAAGCUUCCGCUUUUGGGUUCGACCUCGAUCCGCACCAAGCUUCAAAAUUUCGGUUCUGUCAGCCCAAUAUCGCUCUAAAGCACGCAACAAAUGCGCCCAUUGUUCCGGUCGUACGAGCGUAGAGUUCUUCUGGUUAGGUCCCAGACUCCAAAUUUUACAAAGUCAAAGCGAUUUUGAGGUGAGUGAUUUGAUCAAUUGUAGUCUAUAUGUAUUUGCUCCCACAUAUUUUACUGCCAUUCAAGAAGUCUCCAGUCAUCGAGAAGGCAGAGGUUGGUCUUUUUCUUUCAUGGCAUUAUAGUUGUGGAUUGGUUUGCACUUGGGAUCAAAUUCUGGCUCUAAAAAUAUUAUAUCACUUGAUUUUUAAUUAUUGAGAACAAAUUUGGCCUCAACACGGGCUACAAAUUUGGCCUCAACACAGGCUAUUUUCUUUUAUCCCUUUUAAGUAAAUAUUCAUGAAUCUUUCACAGUGGGUAAAUCAUUUAUUUUCUUGCUAGGCGAGAUACUAGAAGGAUUUGGUUGCUUACAUGGUGCUUAUAUCUGUAUGAGUCGAUUGUAGAACUAAAUUUUAGAAGCAUGUUUUAGCUCUGCCCUUAGUUUAAUUGGUAUCUUGGACGUGCAUGUAAAACCAGCCAAAUAAUUUAUUACUGAUGGUAUCACUAUUUGGUUUGAUUUUGAAAUUUUGAAUUUAUGUUUUUUUUUUAAAUAUUUAACCUAUUGGGCACAAUAACAAAAUUGUGCAAACAUGGCUUGGAAGAGUCAUUUGACACAGGUGUCAGAACAGAGGCACAAAUACCCCAGAUUGGUGCUUAACUGUUUAAGCACCAAAAGUCAUAUUGUGCCCUUUCAUCAAAGGUGACACCCACAGAGGGCACAUACAAUAUAAUAGUAGCUGCACUGUUGCCAUUGGUCUAUGGGCACAUAUGUUGGUGCCCUUUGGCCUCAAAGGGCACAAAUAAUUUAUAGUGCGCAGUGCCCAUAUUUUUUGUAGUGUGAAAUGCGAGUCGAAUACAUUGAGAAGGGAACGUGAGGACUGGCUCGAUACCAAUGAUAAAACCCCAG